UACAGAGGUCUCAAGCGUUGUUCGGAUUUACUGGGCGUAAAGGGCGCGUAGGCGGCGCAACAAGUCACUUGUGAAAUCUCCGGGCUUAACCCGGAGCGGCCAAGUGAUACUGUCGUGCUAGAGUGCGGAAGAGGGUCGUGGAAUUCCCAGUGUAGAGGUGAAAUUCGUAGAUAUUGGGAAGAACACCGGUGGCGAAGGCGGCGACCUGGUCCGAUACUGACGCUGAGGCGCGAAAGCGUGGGGAGCAAACAGG
rnacentral:rRNA from 1 species